UCUCGAUUUGCAUUUACAAAAAUGUCAUCUCUUUGAAGUCAUUGCAAAUUUGGCAAUUUGUGGCAAUUUUGGACAAUUUGCCCCUCUGCGUAAUUUGAAUACCUUACCUGUCUUCCAUUAAAUGAGAUGAUAAGACUAGACAAAAGGUUGUAAAAAAAUUGUGCCAGGAUAGUAAUUGACGAGUUGUGGGCAUAAAAAAAAAAAAAGUUAAAGCCAAACGGACUCAAUCACAGAUUCGUCUCUCACUGCAAUUGCCCGCCCUCUCUCACUGGAAUCGUCGAAAAUUAUUUUUCUGUAUCUAUGAUUCUUUUUUUGCUUUUAAAUUCUUAUUUAUGAGAUGGGUUUUCUGUUUUUGUUGAAAUUUUCAAGUGUAUCCAAGGGUGAAACUGAGAAAACAAAGUAGAGGAAGAUGAUCAAUGUUUAUGAGAAAAUUUCUUUGCAGUCCGUGAAGACCUUUGAAUGGCUUUGAAUGAUUUCUCUUCGUCAGGUACAAAUUUCUUCCCAUCUCUCUCUCUCUCUCUCUCUUAUUUUUUUUAUUUUCCUUUACCCUUUGAAUAUUCUUAUUAUUUUGAUUUACAUGAUGUUCUAUGUGCAAUUUUCCUUUGAAUAUGCAACUUUUCGAUGCUAGGGCAAAUUUGUAACCAUACUUACCCAACCAUGACAAGAUUUGAUUUUUUUUCUUUGCUUUUAUACUCUGAUCAGAUUGAUUAAUUGUUGUUUAUGAGUAGACUUGUGGAUAUUAUUGUACAUGGUGAGAUAUAGAUAGUGAUGGCAAUGGGUCGAGCCGAGCAUUUAACCCACGAGCUCGGCUCGUUGCUCGGGCCGAGCCGAGCUGCUCAUGAGCUCAUUAUUUUUAAAAAAAAAUUUUGGUAAAUUUGCACAUUUUGGACAUUUAAAAAAAAAAAAACUAAUAUUUUUUGGCGAGCCCACGGCUCGUCAAAAUGGCUCAUGGGCCGUGUGCCCACGAGCCGCUUGUGGGAUUGAGCCCCUGCUCGGCUCGAGCUCAUCAAAUCCACGAGCCGGGUUUUGACGAGCCGCUUAACCCGUUUGAUAUCCCUAGAUAUAGAAUGAGUAAUCUGCUACCAUGGAAGCAUUUUUCUUUCCAUUUUUUUUUAUUUGCACACUGUUACAAUAAAAUUGUAAUCCUUCAUAACUGCUCAUGCAAGAAAACUAUUUCCCUAAUAUAAAUUAGCUUCGGUUCGAAAAGAAGAAUUUAGAAAGGGGUUUAAUUUAUAAAUUGAUAGAAAUUAGUGCUAGAUAAAUGGAUAGUACUUGAAUGUCCAUUGAAAUGGAUGGUUGAAAAUGUAGUUUGAUCAUUUAUAAAUGAUUUAGAGAUUUUAACAAUAAUUAUUAUAAUUAGAGUUAAUUGUUCCAAUGAUCACUGACUUUAAAUCCAUAUAUUUGAUUGAUCACUGAAAUUUAAAAUGUCGAGUUUUGGUCACUGGAUUUAGGUUCAUAUCGUUGACUGCUCAUUGAAAUUUAAAAUGUAGAGUUUUGGCUACUGAACUUUGAAAAAUGUUGUACAUUACUCACUAAAUUUCGAAAAAUAUAAAAAUAUUGUACAUUACACACUAAACUUUGAAAAAUGAUGUAUAUUACUCACUGUAAACUCGAUAUUUUUCAAAAUUUAACAGUUAUGCUAGUGAGUAAUGUAUGACAUAUUUUAAAGUUUAGUGAUCAAAACUCGACAUUUUAAACUUCGGUGAGCAAUCUGAGACAUGGACCUAAUUUUAGCGAGCAAUCGAAGACAUUGACCUAAGUUUAGUGAUCAAAACUCGACAUUUCAAAUUUUAGUAACCAAUCAAAGACAUGAACCUAAAUUCAGUGACCAUUGGAACACUUACAUUAUAAUUAUAACAUGCCUCGCCAACACCUCUAUGGGAAUUGUCAUACAUAUGAAAAUACAUUUUCAUACUAGGAUAUUGUGUGAGGAUAUGUUCUCUACACUGAAUAAGCUCGAAAUCUAUAAGCCCUUAUUUGAUUUUAAUAAAAAAAAUUGAUUUUUAGAAAAUUUGGAUAAAAGUUGAUAAAAUGUUUGGUUAAAAAGUUGUAGUUCUCACGAAAUGCAUGGUUAAAAAUAAAUUUGAGGAAAAUAAGUUUUAACAAAUGUGGACCGAAUAAGGACUAAAUCUACAUCCAUUUGUAUCGCCCUUGUGAUGUGCUUGAUGAUUACUUUGACCAUAAUGGCUUGUAGUUGAAUAGACCCUUUGUUUUUUUUUUUUUUUUUUCCCACUGGAAUGGUUUAUUAGGGAAGAAGCCCUUUUCUUUCGCUUUUUUUUCUAAUAUAUAAGAAAUUUAAUAUCUUAUUUCAUUCUACAAUAAGAUGCACCACGUGUUCUUAUGUUUCCAUUUGGCUAGUUUAGUAGGGAAAAUUCCCUUUUGUUUCACUUUUUCCUGAUGUAUGAGAAGUUUCAAAUCUUCUUUCAUUCUACAACUUGCAUUCUUAGUUUUCUAGAGAGAAAAAACUGAGUAAUUGAAUAUAUUGGAUUUCAUUCAUUGAGUAUAAUUUGUUGUUAGAAUGUAAAAUGUGAAUAUUAAAUAAGCGCCCAAGAAAUUAUAACAAAAUAAUAUGAAAGGGAAAGGAAGCGUGCAGCAUUUGUACGUCCCUUGUGCAUUACAAUGUGGGUUAGAUUGCAUCACACAAUUGCGUUCUCAAUAACUCACAAAAAACACACAAUUUCAUGCUACAAUGUUUGUUUUGCUCAGAAUUUGUUAUUACCAUAAAGAGAAAAAGUUUUGUUGCUGUUUAUUGAAUUUGGCACAGACAAAUGUUCAUCGAAACUGAUUUAGGUUUCCUAACCAAUCAGAUGAUUUUAUUUUAACUUUGUUUUAUUUCGUGAGAAAUCUCACUAUGUGCACAGAAAACGUUACAUGCAAAAUGUCCCAAAAGAAUACCAUAACAAAGUAGUUACACUAUUCGAUUUCAUGUUGAUAAACUUUAACCAUAUUUAGUUGUUCGAGGGAAAGGGAAGACACAAAAACCACCAAUUCUACUCGAGAAGAUGUGGAAAACCAUGUUCCUAAUGUAGAGGGUUGUUUCACAUGUUCCAUGCUAGAAUCGAUCUUUUUCAGCACAUAAGAUGUAGUUGUAUCUAAGUAUAUCAACUUGGCAUCUCUAAAAUUUGGUUGAUAAUAGAAAAUACCACACUUGGCUGGCCUUUUACUCUUACACGAAUAAUUUGUUGUUUACUAUUCGAUAUGUUAAAUCAAACAAGAUAAAUAAAAUAAUAUAGAUUUAUGCUAUUUGUACAUUGGAAAUGUACAACUAUGUUGAUAUUGAAUGAGGUGUAUAAAAUUGUGUCACUGAUUGUCUUAAGUAUUGUUAAAUGAAAUGAGGUGUAUAAAAUUGUGUAAUUGAUUGUUUUAAGUAAUGUUAAAUUAAAUUAGGUGUGCGAAAUUGCAUCAUAUGUACUGACCUCUAAAAUUGUUUUCAUUCAAAUCACUUGCACAGAUGUCCUUCAUUGUCUCAUAUUGAGACUCUAUUUAUGGUCACUUAUUUUAAUUUUUUUCUUGUCUUCAGGAGUAAGUACGAUAACUUGAAUGGUUAGAAACCUAUAGCUUAUUUUUAUUUUUUUCCUAUCUUCAAGUUUAAUGUAAGUAAUUAUUAUCACAGUGUUGCUGACAUUAGGAUUUUGCUUGAUGUGAAUAAUGUUUAGGGGAUCAAUUAUUGACGUGUUUCAAAUUUUGGAGCUGUAGUCAUUGUCCCCACACAUUGAUAACCAUUCUAUUCCAAGCCUCCCAUUUGGUUCUAGCCGGUGAGGAUUUGAACACUUUCUUUCAUUUUCAAAUGGGUUAGACACGUGUUGUGAUUUUACGUGUAAAGUACGUAACAACCUAUGCUUGUUAUGGUGACAUAUGCACAAAUAUGCUUGUUUAUUUUUCAAUUUCUAGCAUGCAUGUGUGCCUUCACACGAUAAUGCAAUUCAUGCUUGUUACAAAUGGCUUUACACAAAAAUCACAAACUCAUAUCUGUUGCAUACCAAUUUAUGUGCUAAAACUUGAAGUUGACAUACUCUCAACUGACACUACAGAGAAAUGAGCACGUGAAUUUCACAUUUCGUAGGGGGGAACAUAGUUGUGAUUUAUGUGUAUUCAAAUUUUGAUUUCUUCUUGAUGUUUCAUCCUCCCAAACUGCUUUAUAUAGAGAUCGAAAAAUCUGUAGGAAUUACAAGUUAGAGUCAUGAAUGUCUUACCUUGAUACAUGAAUGUUGGUCAAACUUAUUUAAUAGUAUGAAGUCAAAAUCGAGGAAAUUGUACUGGAUGUUAUUUUUUGAGCUUUUCACUGUGAAUAAUGUAGCGGAUAAAUUGCGUUUGUGGGAUACGGAUAAAUUGAGCAUAGAGGAUUGGAUGACAUGACCAAAGUAAAGUACUUGAAUGAGUAGAGUGUUGUUCAUAAUCUACUAAAUAGAUACGCUCUCAAACAAAUUUAUAUUUGUCAUCCACUGUUAUGUUCAUUAUUUAAAAUUGUGAAGUGUUCUAGAAUUGAUUACAUGUUCAUUAUUUAAAUUUUAAAAUUUUUGCUCGUUGUAUGCAUUUGGUGGAAAUCUUGAUUGACACUUGAUAUAUCUUUGGUUUGAAUGUUUAUGUUACUUGUGUGAUGUGGACAAAACCUUGCUUUCACUUGCAAUCCAUCCGCUGUAGGUAGUACUCGCAACAUUCGGGUGGAACUCUCGAUAGACACUUGACAGCAUUUUAAUGUUUCAUUCUGCUCGAAUAUGGAGUGAAAAUCUUUUGUAUAAUACCUAUGUGGGAAGGUUUUAAACUAGAUUUUUCGAUAGUUCAUCUGUCGACAAGUUGUUGCUGAACUUCGUUUCCGACAGUUAGCCUCAGUAAUUUUCGACAGAUGAACUUGUCGAUAGAUAAAAUAUUGAGAACGACAGUUCAGUCCUUGUUUCAACUCAGUGUGUUUCACAUUAAUUUCGAUCUUAUAUAAGUAAAUUCAUAAAGGGUGACUUAAAGUAAUAUGUGUGAUACUCGUUGUAUGCAUUUUGUGGAAAUCUUAAUUGACACUUGACAUAUCUUUUGUUUCAAUGUUUAUGUUAAGUGUUUCAUAACCUUGCUUUCACUUGCAAUCCACUUGUUGUGGGUGGUACUCGUUGUAUUCGAGUGAAACUCUUGAUAGACACUUCACAGCAUACUUGUGGUUUUUGGUCCAUAUGCGGCUAAAAAUAUUAUAUUAUGGUAUGAUGCAUUCAUUUCUUGUUUUGUCUAUGCAGAUGUCGAUUUUGAGACUCUUGUUCCAGAGAAUGCAGGGCUGCGGGGCCCCAUUUUGCAGAGAAGCAAUCUGCAGUACGUAAAAACAGUCAUCGAGCAUUUUGUUAUUUUGUGAGGUGAUUGAUGAAGAUAGCAUGGACCUGAACGGUAUUGCAUUUCUUCACCUUGCUUUCUAUGUGCUUUGUCUCGGAAUACUCAUUUUACUGAUGUAUGACAUGACGGCCUAUGUGCAAAUUCGUACUCAUGACCUGAACAAGCGUCAAAGUGUUGGUCGACAUGUUCUUGUUAUAAUGGGAGAUGGAACCAAUCAAUGUCCCUGUCAAAGAAAGAGCGACGUUGACAAUGUUCCACUUCGGGUGACUGUAGAGAAUGCACCGAAGAACAUUUUGUUUUACAUUAUUGUAUAUUUAUUUUUUGGGAAAUGUUGGUUAUGUUCAAGUGACAUUCACUGUCAAAGAAACUGUGUGGAUUUAGUACAGAAAAUGUUGGUACAGAAACUAUUUUUGACGCACUUUGUAAGUUUUUUGGCUUUUUGAACUUGUUAG
rnacentral:lncRNA from 1 species